GGGCAGUUAGCUCAGCCAGUUAGAGCGUGGUGCAGAUAACACCAAGGUUGCAGGUUCGAUUCCUGCUCGAUCCU
rnacentral:tRNA from 1 species